rnacentral:rRNA from 1 species
UACGGAGGGUGCAAGCGUUGUUCGGAAUUAUUGGGCGUAAAGCGCGUGUAGGCGGUCAUGUAAGUCAGAUGUGAAAGCCUUCCGCUUAACGGGAGAAGUGCAUUUGAGACUAUAUGACUGGAGUACGGGAGAGGAGAGUGGAAUUCCCGGUGUAGAGGUGAAAUUCGUAGAUAUCGGGAGGAACACCAGUGGCGAAGGCGGCUCUCUGGCCUGAUACUGACGCUGAGACGCGAAAGCGUGGGGAGCAAACAGG